rnacentral:rRNA from 1 species
GGCUCAGGAUGAACGCUAGCGGCAGGCUUAAUACAUGCAAGUCGAGGGGCAGCGGGGGUAGCAAUACCUGCCGGCGACCGGCAAACGGGUGCGGAACACGUACACAACCUUCCUUAAGGUGGGAGAUAGCCCAGAGAAAUUUGGAUUAAUACCCCAUAAUAUAUUUUGGUUGCAUAACUGAGAUAUUAAAGAUUUAUUGCCUUAAGAUGGGUGUGCGUAUGAUUAGGUAGUUGGUUGAGGUAACGGCUCACCAAGCCUUCGAUCAUUAACUGGUGUGAGAGCACGACCAGUCACACGGGCACUGAGACACGGGCCCGACUCCUACGGGAGGCAGCAGUAAGGAAUAUUGGUCAAUGGACGGAAGUCUGAACCAGCCAUGCCGCGUGAAGGAUGACUGCCCUCUGGGUUGUAAACUUCUUUUAUAGGGGGCGAAAAAAGGGAAUUCUUUCCCGUCUGACGGUACCCUAUGAAUAAGCACCGGCUAACUCCGUGCCAGCAGCCGCGGUAAUACGGAGGGUGCAAGCGUUAUCCGGAUUCACUGGGUUUAAAGGGAGCGCAGGCGGACUUGUAAGUCAGUGGUGAAAUACCUGAGCUUAACUCGGGAACUGCCAUUGAUACUAUAGGUCUUGAAUGUUGUUGAGGUUUGCGGAAUGGGUCAUGUAGCGGUGAAAUGCAUAGAUAUGACCCGGAACACCUAUUGCGAAGGCAGCAGGCUAAACAAAUAUUGACCUGAGGCUCGAAAGCGUGGGGAUCAAACAGGAUUAGAUACCCUGGUAGUCCACGCCCUAAACGAUGAUUACUCGACAUACGCGAUACACUGUGUGUGUCUGAGCGAAAGCAUUAAGUAAUCCACCUGGGAAGUACGACCCGCAGGU